rnacentral:rRNA from 1 species
CCUGAGAAACGGCUACCACAUCCAAGGAAGGCAGCAGGCGCGCAAAUUACCCACUCCCGGCACGGGGAGGUAGUGACGAAGCAUACCGAUGCGGGACUCCCAUCCGAGGCCCCGUGAUCGGAUUGAGACGGGUACAGAGAACCCGAAAAGCAUACUGGAGGGCAAGUCUGGUGCCAGCAGCCGCGGUAAUUCCAGCUCCAGUAGCGUAUAUUAAAGUUGUUGCGGUUAAAAAGCUCGUAGUCUGAAUUGUGUCUAGCGCUGCGGGUCCACAGCAUGUCUGUGCUGACUGCGUAUGUCGCCUAGACUUCAUGGCUGGUAGCGGAGGAGGCUCGGUACGGGGUAAGGGGUUGGUUCCUUNGGGUUAAUCAUGUUCCUCCCUUCCGUAGCUCGAAUCCGCAACUUCCAGUCCCGACCUGGUGCUCUUGACCGAGUGCCUUGGAGGGCCAGCACUCUUACUUUGAACAAAUUAGAGUGCUYAAAGCAGGCCUUCCGGCCUUGUCGCUGUGUGCAUGGAAUAACAGAAUAGGACUUCGGUUCUAUUUUUUGUUGGGUUCUUAAGAACCGAGGUAAUGAUCAACAGGAGCAGUGUCGGGGGCAUCCGUAUUGCAGCAGGGUUAGAGGUGAAAUUCUUGGACCGUCGCAAGACGAACUAAAGCGAAAGCAUUUGCCAAGGAUGCUUUCAUUGAUCAAGAGCGAAAGUUGGAGGAUCGAAGGCGAUCAGAUACCGCCCUAGUUCCAACCAUAAACUAUGCCGGCCAGCUAUACGUCGGAGUCGAAAUGACCCGGUGUGGAGCCCACGGGAAACCAGAGCUUUCAGGUUCCUGGGGUAGUAUGGUUGCAAAGCUGAAACUUAAAGGAAUUGACGGAAGGGCACCACCAGGAGUGGAGCCUGCGGCUUAAUUUGACUCAACACGGGAAAACUUACCCGGCCCGGACACUGGAAGGAUUGACAGAUUAAGAGCUCUUUCUUGAUUCAGUGGGUGGUGGUGCAUGGCCGUUCAUAGUUGGUGGAGCGAUUUGUCUGGUUAAUUUCCGAUAACGAACGAGACUC